rnacentral:rRNA from 1 species
GACGAACCGUGCGAACGUUGUUCGGAAUCACUGGGCUUAAAGGGCGCGUAGGCGGGCAAGCAAGUCCGGGGUGAAAUCUUUCGGCUCAACCGGAAAAGUGCCUUGGAUACUGCUUGUCUGGAGGGAGGUAGGGGCCCGUGGAACUUCCGGUGGAGCGGUGAAAUGCGUUGAUAUCGGAAGGAACGCCGGUGGCGAAAGCGACGGGCUGGAUCUCUACUGACGCUGAGGCGCGAAAGCCAGGGGAGCAAACGGGG